rnacentral:rRNA from 1 species
UUCCGGUUGAUCCUGCCGGAGGUCAUUGCUAUUGGAGUCCGAUUUAGCCAUGCUAGUUGCACGAGUUCAGACUCGUAGCAGAUAGCUCAGUAACACGUGGCCAAACUACCCUAUAGACGGCGAUAACCUCGGGAAACUGAGGCUAAUAGCCGAUACAGUUCGCUGCCUGGAGUGGCGCGAACUGGAAACGUUCAGGCGCUAUAGGAUGUGGCUGCGGCCGAUUAGGUAGACGGUGGGGUAACGGCCCACCGUGCCUAUAAUCGGUACGGGUUGUGAGAGCAAGAGCCCGGAGACGGUAUCUGAGACAAGAUACCGGGCCCUACGGGGCGCAGCAGGCGCGAAACCUUUACACUGCACGAGAGUGCGAUAAGGGGACUCCAAGUGCGAGGGCAUAUAGUCCUCGCUUUUCUCGACCGUAAGGUGGUCGAGGAAUAAGUGCUGGGCAAGACCGGUGCCAGCCGCCGCGGUAAUACCGGCAGCACGAGUGAUGACCGCUAUUAUUGGGCCUAAAGCGUCCGUAGCUGGCCACGCAAGUCCGUCGGGAAAUCCGCGCGCCUAACGCGCGGGCGUCCGGUGGAAACUGUGUGGCUUGGGACCGGAAGACCAGAGGGGUACGUCCGGGGUAGGAGUGAAAUCCCGUAAUCCUGGACGGACCACCGGUGGCGAAAGCGCCUCUGGAAGACGGAUCCGACGGUGAGGGACGAAAGCUCGGGUCACGAACCGGAUUAGAUACCCGGGUAGUCCGAGCUGUAAACGAUGUCUGCUAGGUGUGGCACAGGCUACGAGCCUGUGCUGUGCCGUAGGGAAGCCGUGAAGCAGACCGCCUGGGAAGUACGUCCGCAAGGAUGAAACUUAAAGGAAUUGGCGGGGGAGCACUACGACCGGAGGAGCCUGCGGUUUAAUUGGAUUCAACGCCGGG